rnacentral:rRNA from 1 species
UACGGGGGGUGCGAGCGUUGUCCGGAAUCACUGGGCGUAAAGGGCGCGUAGGCGGCUCAUGAAGGCUGUGGUGAAAGUCCGGGGCUCAACCUCGGAUCGGCCGUGGCGACUCGUGGGCUGGAGCACUGUAGAGGCGGGUGGAAUUCCGGGUGUAGCGGUGGAAUGCGUAGAGAUCCGGAAGAACACCAGUGGCGAAGGCGGCCCGCUGGGCAGUGGCUGACGCUGAGGCGCGACAGCGUGGGGAGCAAACAGG